rnacentral:lncRNA from 1 species
CGGCGGGAGCGGAGCACGGGGUGAUCUGGGCACUAACGCUGAUGGGGAGCAGCGGACAUCAGCCUCGACCUCCCACGAGCGGUGCACGAGCGCCUGACCCAGACCUCGACCCUAGCCUUCACCCCCACCCUGACUCCAGUUCAUGAACUGGUCAAAGGAAGAGCCAUGCCAGCAAACGUCUACACUGUACAUGCUUUUUAUUACAAGACUACGGAGCAUAGGAGGAAAAUUCAUCAUCUGUUCUACAGUCUGGGGACGACGGUUUAAAAAUUUAUGCCUUGCAUGCGAUGUGCAGUGGGUGAUGGAAGAACGUCUACAUGGCUUUAAAAUUGGAUUUAAAAGGCAAAUAUUUUAAAUGAAGGAAAACCCAAGAAGUUUACUUGAUUCCUUAUCUUCCAGGAUGCGACUUUUGUUUAUUUAUUUAUUUUAUUUUGAUGGAGUCUCGCUGCCGUCGCGCAGGCUGGAGUGCAGUGACGCGAUCUUGACCCGGGAACCUCCACCUCCCGGGUUCAAGCGAUUCUCCUUCCUCAACCACCCGAGUAGCUGGGAUUACAGGCGUGUGCCACCAUGCCCGGCUAAUUUUUGUGUUUUUAGUAGAGACCGGGGAAGGUAUGGGCCCUCUUUUGAGAAAAAUGCAGAGUGACACUGAAUUUUGUAACUACAUCAGGAGGCUCUUGAACCUUCUGCAGCUCACUCGUGGAGUUUGUAGAGAUGCGUAAUAAUCCGAAGUGUUAAGGAAGAAGGUUCUGUUGAGAAAAAGUUGGAGGGCUGAAAGGGAUGCCUUUCGCUAUUUCGACAUGUGUGGCUGUACCCCAGAGUGCCCUGGCUAACACGCAAAACCAUGAAUUAGGCGGCUUGGCGAGGCUCAGUGGAGGCUGGGGCCGAGAGUCAUGUCAAAGUUUGUGGGGUUAACCUGCACCCAGUGACAGUCAUGGCGAAGUUUGUGAGGUUAACUCGCACCCAGUAACGCUGUUCCAAUGCAAGGUGUGUAUUUGGUGUCAUCCACGGGAAGAGGAAACAGCAAAUUUUCUCAUGGCCUUGGCAGUUCCACAUGAUGGACAUUUCAUAUCUGCAGUUUUCUUCGCAUGAGAUGGCUUUUUUGCACAAAAACACUGGAAUCCAGUGAGCAAGAAUGAUAGAAUGCAAGAUGGAUUUCCACAUGAGGAAGUGUCACGAACAAGCGUUUUGCAUCUCUGUCAGCUGGAUUCCCCCAUGUGUACGUAUGUGAGAACAUGCCGUGUUUCCUGUCUGUAAUGGUAGAGGCAGCCCUGAUACUGGAUUUUCACCUGAGGAUGGAUAGAUCUUCAGGGUUCAAGUGGGUUUGCAUCUGGACUUUAGGGUGGCCCUGUAGGCCCUGUGUGAGAAGCCCCCUUCCCAGUGAACUUUCCCUUGUGUGCCCGCGUGGACAGCCAACAGGGGGAGCAGUGCGAGCGUGAAGGCAGACAGUGGCCUGGCCCAGUCUGAUGGGAGAGACCCACCGACCCUGUGGGGCUGGUCCCUACAUCUGGCGCUCUGACGUGGGGCUCUCCCUCGCUGUGUGAAGUUGCACCCUGAGUGCGGGAUCAGCGGAGGAGUUCAACGAGAGAUUCCUGAGGAUUGCAGUCUAUAAACUUGGUGGAAAAGAACUACAGCCUGUGUGGGUCCCCUCCCGACAAUUAAAAUUGCACCAUAACUCCAAAGAUGAAACGCUCCCAGAAAGAAAAGGCAAAGACCCAUCGGAAACAAAAGAGCAACUUUCACCGCCUGAUACAUACACUUCAUGACAUCCACAUUGAGACAAAAUCUCGCCGUGUGACCUACAACACCUCUCGUUCAACCCCACCUACUUGGGGUCGAAUACAGAUUUUAUCUCAUCAAACAGAAAAAUUCUUAACAGAAAAAGGAAUCCCAAAAAUGACUGGUAAUAUAAUUCUGGCUGCCUUUAUGGUAGUCAGUGCAGCGUCUGCAGAUGCCUCUAAGGAGUCCGAAACCAAGUCCGAAGUCAACAACAAGCAAUGAUGGCGAUGGCGAUUCUAGUUAAUAAAAAGGGGGGAGAUGUGGGCGGCAAGCCACCCAGGCACCGAGGCAAGAGACAGAGGACACGAGCUGUUCCAGUAUAAUAAAAUAUAAAACAAGAAUAGUUAUACCAGAUAUAGAUCUUAGAUAUGAUUAUAUACGAAUAUCAUUAAUCAUGAGUUUGUAGCAAUUACUUUUUAUUCCAAUAUUAUGAUAAUCCUCGCUCUAUAAUCAUAGCCUAGGAAAAACCAGGCCAUACAGAGAUAGGAGCUGAGGGGACAUAGUGAAGUGUGACCAGAAGACAAGAGUGCGAGCCUUCUGUUAUGCCCGGACAGGGCCACCAGAGGGCUCCUUGGUCUAGCGGUGACGCCAGCGUCUGGGAAGACACCCGUUACCAGGCGGAUCGUGGCCCAGCCGUAGCAAAAGGUGUCAAGGAACACCUUUUGCAAAAGGUGUCAACACCCGCUACUUAGCAGACUGGGAAAGGGGGGCGGUCUCCCUUUCCCCGGGGGAGUUUAGAGAAGACUCUGUUCCUCCACCUCUUGUGGAGGGCCUGACAUCAGUCAGGCUUGCCCGUAGUUAUCCGGAGGCCUAACUGUCUCCCUGUGAUGCUGUGCUUCAGUGGUCACGCUCCUAGUCUGCCUUCAUUUUCCAUCCUGUACACCUGGCUCUGCCUUCUAGAUAGCAGUAGUAAAUUAGUGAAAAUACUAAUAGUCCCUGAUAUGCAGAAAUAAUGGCAUAAGCUGUCUUUCUCUCUGUCUCCUCUCCCUCUCUGCCUCGGCUGCCAGGCAGGGAAGGGCCCCCUGUCCAGUGGACACAUGACCCAUGUGACCUUACCUAUCAUUGGAGGUGACUCACAUUCUUUACCCUGCCCCUUCUGCCUUGUAUCCAAUAACAGCGCAGUCAGACAUUCAGGGCCACUACCGGUCUCCGCACAUUGGUGGUAGUGGUCCCCCGGGCCCAGCU